rnacentral:rRNA from 1 species
ACUCCUACGGGAGGCAGCAGUGGGGAAUAUUGCGCAAUGGGCGAAAGCCUGACGCAGCAACGCCGCGUGGGUGAUGAAGGCCUUCGGGUCGUAAAGCCCUGUCAGGUGGGAAGAACCCCUCGCAAGAGGGCUGACGGUACCACCGAAGGAAGCACCGGCUAACUCCGUGCCAGCAGCCGCGGUAAUACGGAGGGUGCAAGCGUUGUUCGGAAUUACUGGGCGUAAAGGGCGCGUAGGCGGCCGCAUCAGUCCGGUGUGAAAGCCCGGGGCUCAACCCCGGAAGUGCACUGGAUACUGUGGGGCUUGAGUUCGGGAGAGGAGGGCAGAAUUCCCGGUGUAGGGGUGAAAUCCGUAGAUAUCGGGAGGAAAACCAGUGGCGAAGGCGGCCCUCUGGAACAGAACUGACGCUGAGGCGCGAAAGCGUGGGGAGCAAACAGGAUUAGAGACCCUGGUAGUCCACGCCGUAAACGAUGGAUGCUGGGUGUGGGGAUCAAUAAGGAUCUCCGUGCCGAAGCUAACGCAGUAAGCAUCCCGCCUGGGG